UGAGGUUGAGUUUAAUAAAGCUGCACAAUCUUUGACUGAUGCUGUGGUUCCCAUUGCCCAAAAGAAGACUGCAUUAAAUCGUUUGGUUAAGGAUAAUGUUGCACUUAUAGUGGUUUUGGAAGCGAAGUUCAGCAACCAGGGGGUUGACAACCCUGGGAAGCGUCAACUAGUUUGUGUGGCCAACACACAUGUAAACGUUCAGCAAGAAUUAAGGGAUGUCAAACUGUGGCAGGUUCACACACUUCUUAAAGGACUUGAAAAAAUCGCUGCCAGUGCCGACAUCCCAAUGCUGGUCUGUGGAGAUUUUAAUUCGAUGCCCGGAAGUGCUCCUCAUACACUUCUUGCCUUGGGGAAAGUUGAUCCAAUGCAUCAAGAUCUAGUAGUGGAUCCUCUUGGUAUUUUGCGUCCAGCUUCAAAGUUAACACACCAGCUCCCAUUGGUUAGUGCUUAUUCAUCCUUUGCCAGAAUGGGGGUGGGACUUGGACUAGAGCAGCAAAGGAGAAGGAUGGAUCCUAAUACCAAUGAGCCCUUGUUUACCAACUGCACCAGAGAUUUUAUUGGCACUCAUGAUUAUAUAUUCUACUCAGCUGAUUCAUUAACUGUUGAAUCUUUAUUGGAGCUCUUGGAAGAAGAAAGCUUGAGAAAGGACACAGCACUUCCUUCUCCAGAGUGGUCGUCUGAUCAUAUAGCACUCUUAGCUGAGUUCCGGUGCAAGCCGAGAACUAGACGCUGAUGAUGGGUCUCACUGCAAAGGAUGAGUUCAAAAAUAGAAGCAGAAACAAUUACAAGGAUGAAAGAUAAGUUAUUGUAAGAAUAGUAGAUGGAGGCGCCUUGUUCUUUUUUUAUUUCUCCUUUUUCUC
rnacentral:misc_RNA from 1 species